rnacentral:misc_RNA from 1 species
GAUGAAGAACGCAGCGAAAUGCGAUAAGUAAUGUGAAUUGCAGAAUUCAGUGAAUCAUCGAAUCUUUGAACGCACAUUGCGCCCGCCAGUAUUCUGGCGGGCAUGCCUGUUCGAGCGUCAUUUCAACCAUCAAGCCCCAGGCUUGUGUUGGGGACCUGCGGCUGCCGCAGGCCCUGAAAACCAGUGGCGGGCUCGCUGUCACACCGGGCGUAGUAGAUUUUAUCUCGCUCAGGGCGUGCUGCGGGUUCCGGCCGUUAAAAAGCCUUUUUUACCCAAGGUUGACCUCGGAUCAGGUAGGAAGACCCGCUGAUCUUAAGCAUAUCAAUAAGCGGAGGA